AUUGAACGCUGGCGGUAGGCCUAACACAUGCAAGUCGAGCGAGCGGCGGACGGGUGAGUAAUGUAUGGGGACUGCCCGAUAGAGGGGGAUAACUACUGGAAACGGUGGCUAAUACCGCAUACUAUCGGAUAACCCAUAUGGGAGUAGCUAGUAGGUGGGGUAAAGGCUCACCUAGGCGACGAUCGCUAGCGGGUCUGAGAGGAUGAUCAGCCACACUGGAACUGGGACACGGCCCGGACUCCUACGGAGGCAGCGGUGGGAAAUAUUGCACAAUGGGGGCAAGCCUGAGGCAGCCAUGCCGCGUGUAGGAAGAGGGCCUUAGGGUUGUAAAGUACUUUCAGCGGGGAGGCGUUACCCGCAGAGGAAGCACCGGCUAACUCCGUGCCAGCAGCCGCGGUAAUUC
rnacentral:rRNA from 1 species